rfam:Mycobacterium sp. ACS1612 contig_28, whole genome shotgun sequence.
CCUUGCCCGUGCAUCGUGGCCUCUGCCCGAACCGGCCCUGACGUACUUCCCCGACGUCAGGUCCGCGACCUCGGACAGGGACCUCGGUGCAGGGGCCUUCAUCA